AGAUGAACUCCUUGGUCUGCCUGCUCUGCCGACUCCUCCAGGAGUGUCUUCUUCUUCCCACGCGAGUCUCGUCACGCCGCUGUGCCUGCUCGGCCGACUCCUCCAUGAGUGUCUUCUCGUUCCCACGCGAGUGCAGGUUGGACAGCAGCUCUGAGAAGAUGAACUCCUUGGUCUGCCUGCUCUGCCGACGCCUCCACGAGUGUCUUCUCGUUCCCACGCGAGUGCAGGUUGGACAGCAGCUCUGAGAUGAACUCCUUGGUCUGCCUGCUCUGCCGACGCCUCCACGAGUGUCUGCAGGUUCCGACGCGAGUACAGGUUGGACAGCAGCUCCGAGAAGAUGAACUCCUUGGUCUGCCUGCUCUGCCGACUCCUCCAGGAGUGUCUUCUUCUUCCCACGCGAGUCUCGUCACACCUCUGUGCCUGCUCUGCCGACUCCUCCAUGAGUGUCUUCUCGUUCCCACGCGAGUGCAGUUUGGACAGCAGCUCUGAGAAGAUGAACUCCUUGGUCUGCCUGCUCUGCCGACGCCUCCACGAGUGUCUUCUCGUUCCCACGCGAGUGCAGGUUGGACAGCAGCUCUGAGAAGAUGAACUCCUUGGUCUGCCUGCUCUGCCAACGCCUCCACGAGUGUCUGCUCGUUCCCACGCGAGUACAGGUUGGACAGCAGCUCUGAGAAGAUGAACUCCUUGGUCUGCCUGCUCUGCCGACGCCUCCACGAGUGUCUUCUCGUUCCCACGCCAGUGCAGGUUGGACAGCAGCUCUGAGAAGCAGCAUCUCGUCGCACCGCUGUGCCUGCUCUGCCGACGCCUCCACGAGUGUCUGCAGGUUCCGACGCGAGUACAGGUUGGACAGCAGCUCCGAGAAGAUGAACUUCUUGGUCUGCCUGCUCUGCCGACUCCUCCAGGAGUGUCUUCUUCUUCCCACGCGAGUCUCGUCACACCUCUGUGCCUGCUCUGCCGACUCCUCCAUGAGUGUCUUCUCGUUCCCACGCGAGUGCAGUUUGGACAGCAGCUCUGAGAAGAUGAACUCCUUGGUCUGCCUGCUCUGCCGACGCCUCCACGAGUGUCUUCUCGUUCCCACGCGAGUGCAGGUUGGACAGCAGCUCUGAGAAGAUGAACUCCUUGGUCUGCCUGCUCUGCCAACGCCUCCACGAGUGUCUGCUCGUUCCCACGCGAGUACAGGUUGGACAGCAGCUCUGAGAAGAUGAACUCCUUGGUCUGCCUGCUCUGCCGACGCCUCCACGAGUGUCUUCUCGUUCCCAAGCCAGUGCAGGUUGGACAGCAUCUCUGAGAAGCAGCAUCUCGUCGCACCGCUGUGCCUGCUCUGCCGACUCCUCCACAAGUGUCUGCAGGUUCCGACGCGAGUACAGGUUGGACAGCAGCUCCGAGAAGAUGAACUCCUUGAUCUGCCUGCUCUGCCGACUCCUCCAGGAGUGUCUUCUUCUUCCCAUGCGAGUCUCGUCACGCCGCUGUGCCUGCUCGGCCGACUCCUCCAUGAGUGUCUUCUCGUUCCCACGCGAGUGCAGGUUGGACAGCAGGUCUGAGAAGAUGAACUCCUUGGUCUGCCUGCUCUGCCGACGCCUCCACGAGUGUCUUCUCGUUCCCACGCGAGUACAGGUUGGACAGCAGCUCUGAGAAGAUGAACUCCUUGGUCUGCCUGCUCUGCCGACGCCUCCACGAGUGUCUUCUUGUUCCCAAGCGAGUGCAGGUUGGACAGCAGCUCUGAGAAGCAGCAUCUCGUCGCGCCGCUGUGCCUGCUCUGCCGACUCCUCCAGGAGUGUCUCCUUGUUCCCACGCGAGUACAGGUUGGACAGCAGCUCUGAGAAGAUGAACUCCUUGGUCUGAGAGUGGGCAAAGAAGGAAGGAGUUUGGGUCCUGAUGCCCGUGCUGCCCUGGCCUCCCGCUGGCGCCUGCUGGGACUGUGUGCUGGAGUUGAAGCCCUGAGUAUGGCUUUUCAGAUGUGGCUUCUACACAGCUUAAACUCAAAGAUCUGCCUCCCCAUUGCCCUUUUCUCACUCAGAUAGGGACGCUGAGGUCCAGAGGAAAGGUCGCCUGUGCAAGUCACAGAUCUGGGAGGGGACCCUGGACCUAUCAUGCUACCAGGACACCUGUCUACUCAGGUUUUUCAAAUUUUUUUUGGAGAUAGGAUCUCACUCUGUCGCUAGGCUGGAGUAUAGAGGGCGAGAUCACCGCUCACUGCAUCCUCAACCUCUUGGGCUCAAAGUGAUCCUCUAAUGUCAGCCUGUCGAGUAGCUAGGACUAUAGGCACGUGCCACCACCAAGCCCAGCUAUUUUUAAAAUUUUUGUGUAGAGGCCAGGUCUCACUAUGUUGCCCAGGCUGGUCUCGAACUCCUGGGCUCAAGCUAUCCUCCCGCCUUGGCCUCCCAAAGUGCUGGGAUUACAGGCAUGGACCACUGUCCUCAGUCCCAUGUUAUAUUUCUAUGAGACAGCUCUGGUCUGGACCAUGCCUCCCUCCCUGGACCUGGUCCCAUAGGGCUGGUCAGCAUCUCCCCCAGGCCAACAUGGCCACCUGCAUCCCCAGUGCCACAGGAGCCGCCUACCCCCAUGAGGCGGUGCAUGCACAUUGUAGAUCAUGAUGUGCAUGAUGGUCUUGGGCUUCGCACCAACCAUGAGGUUCCACACGGUCUUGUUGACAAUGGCCAUGUAGGAGUCCACCAGGUUCUGGGUGGUUUCCAUUUGCCGCUCCAGCUGUGGGUCCAUGGAGUGCAUGAAGCUGUGGGAGCCAUUCUCCUCAGCCUUGCUGUCCUGUCACGGAGAAUGCAAGCGCAUCAGGGUGGCCAGGCCAUGCAGCCAGGCUCCAGCAAUCCCUAGGAUCUCAGUCCCUCCAAGGGUACCUGGAACAUUGAAGCACAGAGAAAGGCAACUGGCCUGAACACACACCCAGGUCCCCACAUGCUCUAGAUGGUUUCAGGCCUCUGCCUCUCAGGACCCCAGACUCCCCUGAUUCAAGUCUCAUCUUAGUCCUGACUCUAGUGCCCAGAAUUUGCCUCAAGUUACCAAUCCAGAAAUUGGAAAAGAACAUCUCCAGGUACCUUGCUUGAAGACCUGGCCAGAGCUUGCGCCAGGCUGCAGAUGCCUGGCAGGAAGCAAGAAAAGGGCAUACUCACUUUCCCCUUGUCCUAGGAGGCCCAUGCACCAACAUUGCCACCGCCGCUGCCACCAGGGAACAGAGCAAAGUAGACACACACAGACAAGAAAACGGGAAGGGUUGAGUGAACCUGGGACACUGCACCCCAACUUUAAUGUGUUGUUGAAUUCAAUUAGCUAAUAUUUUGUUGAGGAUUUUUGCAUCAAUAUUCAUCAGUGAUCCUGGCCUGUAGUUUUCUUUUUUGGAUGUAUCUUUAGUUUUGGUAUCAGGGUAAUACUAGCCUUGUAGAAUGAGUUUGGAAGUAUUCCCUCCUUCUCUAUUUUUGGAAUCGUUUGGGUAAGGUUGGUAUUAGUUCUUCUUUAAAUGUUUGCUAGAAUUCAGCAGUGAAUCAUCAGGUCCCAGGCUUUUCUUUGCUGGGAGACUUUUCAUUACUGCUUCGAUCCCAUUAUUUGUUGUUGGUCUGUUCUGGCUUUGGAUUUCAUCCCGGUUCAGUCUUGGUAGUCUGGAUGUGUCUGGAAAUUUAUCCAUUUUUAGUAGGUUUUCCCAUUUGUUUGCAUAUAGUUGCUGAUAAUAGCCACUAGUGAUCCUUUGAGUUUUUGUGGUAUCAGUUGUCAUGUUUCCUUUUGUUUGUCAAUGUUAUCUUUUUAAAAAAAUAAUUUUUUUUUUUGAGAUGGAAUCUUGCUUUGUCACCCAGGCUGGAGUGCAAUGGCACAAUCCUGGCUCACUGCAACCUCUGCCUCCCAGGUUCAAGUGAUUCUCCUGCCUCAGCCUCCUGAGUAGCUGGGAUUACAGGCGCGUACCACCACCCUGGGUAAUUUUUCUAUUUUUAGUAGAGACAUGGUUUCACCAUGUUGAUCAGGCUGGUAUUGAACUCCUGACCUCAUAAGGUACCCACUUCGGCCCCGCAAAGUGCUGGGGUUACAGGCAUGAGAAUCCGUGCCCAGCCCACAUUUUGUUUUUAAAUUUUACUUAUUUACUUGUUUUUCUCUUUUGCAAACAGGGUCUCAUUCUGUUGCCCAGGCUGGAGUGCAGUGGUGCAAUCAUGGGCUCACUGUAACCUUGAACACCUAAACUCAAGAGAUCCUCCCGUCUCAGCCUCAUGAGUAGCUAGGACUACAUGCCUGCACCACCACACCUGGCUAAUUUUUCUAGUUUUUGUAGAGAAAGGGUUUUGCUAUGUUGCCCAGGCUGGUCUUGAACUCCUGGCCUCAAGCAAUCCUCCUGCCUUGGCCUCCCAAAGUGCCAGGAUUACAGGCAUGAGCCACCAUGCUGGGUCUAUACAUUUUCUUUUCCAUGUUAUAUAAAGUAUUCUGUAUGCAUCCUUCUGGAAUUUGUUUUUCUCACAAUAUUAUAUUGCUAAAGUUCUUAUUGUUGUUUAUUGCUGGCGUUCAUUCUUUUUGACUGCUUGUGAAAUCACCAGAAGAUAGACAUCCUGAGAUCUCUUAAGAACUGCUGCUGGGAGUAUACACUGGUAUGACCACUUUGGAAAACAGUUUGGCUCCAUCUCAUAAGGUUCAAUAUUCACACUCCUCCUAGCCCAGUAAUUCUACUCUACGUGGAAGAGAAAUUCUUGCCUAUAUAAAACAGGGGAUGUGGACAAGGAAUGUUCCUAACAGCUCUGUUCAAAAUAGCAAAAACCUAUUGCCCAUCAACUGGAGAGUAGGUGACUAAAUUGUGCUUUUUAUUCCCUUUGAUUUCCUGUAGUCUUACAAUGCGAGUGGCUUUCCCAUGGCUAGCUUGGGGAGGGGGAUACUCUUGGCAACUGAGUCUGUGGUGGCAGCCCUGCUUAGCCCUAGGGCAAUCGGUG
rnacentral:lncRNA from 1 species